AAGCCUUUAACUUCCGGUAGCGUGUAAAAGAAGAAGGAGGGGAAGUAUUUCCUUUUUUGGCCACAGGCGGGGCUGAGGCCUCCUCUGUACCUCCCGCCAACUGGGCUCUAUCCCCCUUUUUAACAUCAGUUUGACCCCCCCUUGAGGGGUUGCGUGGUUUUUUGUGAGUGGGACGGGGAACUAGAACUCCUGCCCCAUUUUUUUGCCCUGUACAGCCGCGUGAGUAACUUUGUGAGGAGCUGGAACAGGAAAAAGAAGGGCAAGAGGAGCCAUGGCUGACGGACCAGCCUCGGCCCUGUCCGAGUCUGGCUGGUACCUGUCCGAUGAAAGCAUUGAAGCUUGCACAAGUUCUUCUGACAAAGUCAACAUACAUGAUACUAUCCUGAUUGCACUCAAUACAGACUUAAGAGCCAUUGGCAGAAAGUUCCUCCCAAAUGACAUCAAUGGUGGAAAGGUGCAAAAGUUAGAAGGUCCAUGUGUUCUUCAGAUCCAAAAAGUUCGCAAUAUAGCUGCACCAAAGGACAACGAAGAAUCACAGUCUGCUCCCAGAAUGCUGCGUUUGCAAAUGACUGAUGGGCACACAAACUGCACUGCGAUAGAAUAUAAUUACAUGUCAAAAAUAAGUUUGAACACACCCCCUGGAACAAAAAUUAAACUGUUGGGUGUUGUAGAGGUGAAAAAUGGCUUUCUACUUCUGGAUGAUAGCAACACAGUUAUUCUUGGAGGUGAAGUGGAACAUCUUAUAGAAAAAUGGGAGUUGCAAAGGAGCUUAUCAAAACACAACAGAAGUAACAUAGGAACAGAAGGUGGACCUCCUCCCUUUGUGCCAUUUGGGCAGAGAUGUAUAUCUCAGCAGCAAGUGGACAGCAGAGAACUUGAUCGGAGAAAAACUCUGCAAGUGACCAGUGUGACUAAACUUGUUGGAGACAAUGAUGAAUUUGAAAAACAGCGAACAGCUGCUAUUGCAGAAGUAGCAAAAAGCAAGGAGACCAAGACAUUUGGAGGAGGAGGUAGCAGCACUAGAAGCAAUCUUAGUGUGAGUUCAGGUGGAAAUCGAAGCAGGGAAGUGUUCCAGAAAGAAAAGAUGAAACCUGAGGGGAAAAAUGAAGGUGUCUAUCGAGAACUGGUGGAUGAAAAGGCUCUUAAAUACAUAACAGAAAUGGGUUUCAGCAAGGAAGCAGCAAGGCAGGCACUUAUGGAUAAUAGCAACAACCUUGAAACAUCAUUAAAUUUUCUUCUGAACAGUAAUAAGCAAAUGAGUGUUCAAGCCCCCUCCCUUAGAGGAAAAGGAAAAGGUAGAGGCCGAAUACGACCUGAAGUUGAGGAAGAAUUGGGAAAUGCUCGACCAUCUGCUCCAAGCACAUUGUUUGAUUUCCUGGAAUCUAAAAUGGGUACUCUUGCAAUAGAAGAACCAAAGCUACAGCAUCAGGGACACAGAGUGCCAAAUAAUGAACAAAAUGUCAUAAAACUGUAUAACCAUCAAAGACAUGUCCCUCGAAAUGAAAGUAGACAGCCAAGGAAUGAGAAGCCUCCUCGUUUUCAGCGAGACAAUCAAAAUUCAAGGCAUGCCACAGAGGGAAGUGGGUUGUUGAGAUCCAGAGGGUCUGAAAGGCAAAAUUCUUUAGGCCCUGACAAAUGGGUGGAAGAGAGAAAUAAGUGUGAUAUACUUUAUCCUCUCAAAGAUCCUGCAUACUCCACAGCUGUUCACCCUUGUGAUGUUCAUUUCAAGAAGAGAGACAACCCUGUUCCAAACAAACAAGGAAAAGUUACUUCACUCAUGGAGAUGAAAGAGAACUCUGUCCGUCAAGAGCCAGCUGAUAACGAUAACCAGAAACAAGGAAGUAGAGAAAACCAGAUACACCAUCCUGACAAUUUCUACGAUAGGAGAACACUAAUGCUAAGAAAUGAAGCCUUCAGCAGCUUGAAAAAUGAACAGCAUUUUGGUAUGAACAUAGAUUACCAAAACUCUGUAAGAACUGAUCAUUUUAGUUCUAUACCAAAUGGUGAUUUGGAACAUUUUCCAAAAGGAAGGAGAGUUGGACCCAUCAAAAUGCCUGCACCCAGUGUGGUCACAUCAUUUGAUGUCAAAACAUACUAUGAUAUUGGUCCCAAAAAGAGAUCUGGGCCCAUCAAACCAGAAAGUUUUUUGGAGCGAUCCAUUUCAGGAGAGUAUGGGAAAAUCUGGCAACCGGGGGAUGAAUGUUUUGCCCUUUACUGGGAAGACAACAAGUUUUAUCGGGCAGAAAUUGAAGCUCUUCAUUCAUCUGGAACAACUGCAGUUGUUAAAUUCUGUGAUUAUGGAAACUAUGAAGAGGUGUUACUAAGCAACAUCAGGCCCAUUCAAGCUGACAGCUGGGAAGAGGAAGAAAUGGCCUAUGAACAAACUUUAGAGUUCCGCAGAGGUGGUGAUGGUCAACCUCGACGAUCAACACGGCCAACUCAACAAUUUUAUCAACCUCCAAGAGCUAGGAAUUGAUCAAAGCAUUCAGCUGCUCAAGUGACUCUUUCCAGGACACAUCCAAAUCUGUCUCCGAAGUCAAGCUCUCUCUCUUCCUGGUUGGGAGUUUAAGAUAUUCUGUUGUGGCACUACUACUCUUCAGCUUGAAUUUUCUUGCAUUGCCAGAAGGAUGGCACUUCAUGAAGAAGCCUGAUAUAAACAAGAAGUACAAAUUAUAUCGACCAGAGACUUUUUUUUAGUUCUAUGAAGCUAAACUUUUUACAUAUUUAAAAAUUGUUAAUACUGCCAUCAAUAAAAGCACCAUGCUAUA